rnacentral:tRNA from 1 species
AGUAAAGAAGUAAAAUUACAUUUAAUUUCGACCUAAAAUUAAGGAAUAAUCCUCAUACUC